CGCCUGGUUUUACAAAAACAUGUCUUUUAAGAGUAAAAUUAAAAGUCGGGCCUGCCCAAUGAUUUUUAUAAUUUAAUGGCCGCGGUAUUUUGACCGUGCUAAGGUAGCAUAAUCAUUAGUUUCUUAAUUAGAAGCUUGAAUGAAAGGUUUGAUGAAAAAAUUUCUGUCUCAAUUUUAAUGUUUUGAAUUUUAUUUUUAAGUAAGAAAGCUUAAAUUUUUAUAAAAGACGAGAAGACCCUAUAGAGUUUUAUAUUUAUAUUUUAUAAUUUUAAAAAUUUAGAAUUAAAUUUUAUUUUAUAAAUAAAAUAUUUAGUUGGGGUGAUUUAAAAAUUUGAUUAACUUUUUAUUUUAUAAACCAGUUAUAAUUGAUACUAAUGAUCCUUGAAAAUUAAGAUUAAAAGAAAAAAUUACCUUAGGGAUAACAGCGUUAUUUUUUCUUAGAGUUCAAAUCGAAGAAAAAGUUUGCGACCUCGAUGUUGGGAUUAAAA
rnacentral:rRNA from 1 species